rnacentral:lncRNA from 1 species
GAAAUACUGGCCCCCAUGAUUCAAUUACCUCCUGCUGGGUCCCUCCCACAACAUGUGGGAUUUCUGGGAUACAAUUCAAGUUGAGAUUUGGUGGGGAUGCAGUCAAACCACAUCAGCUCCCAUUUUGCAAGUGAGGAAAUCAAGACUCAGAGGGGUGAGGUUGCUUGCUUGGGAUUGCACGGAUCAGUCGGUGGUAGAGUUACGAUCCAAAUCCAGGCUUUAGUUGCCUGCUUCCAGUUCUUUCCACGUGGCUCUAGGAACCAGCAUUAACAGCCUGAGGCCGUGGAGCAUGGUAGGGACUCAGGAGCCAGACUGCCAUCUGCAAAAUCCGUCUCUGUGUGAAGGACCACUCUUUUGGAGGAAGCUGGCAGCCAUUUCAUGAGGAGACUCAAGCAGCCUAGGAGAGGUGGCAGUGGUGAAGAACUGAGGCUUCCUGCUGUCAGCUAGUGAGGAACUGAGGCCUCUUCACACACGGAUGUGAGUGAACUACCCAGGAGAUGUGUCCUCCAGCCCCAGGCCUUCAGAGGACCGCAGCUCUCGUCAAAAGCUUAAUGCAACCUCCUGAGAGUCCCUGAACUACAGCCAUCCUGCUAAGCUACUCCCAAAUGCCUGACCCCCAGAAACUGUAAUCAGAAAGUAAACCAAAACCAAGACCCAUCCACAUGGCCGUGAACCACCCCCAAGCCACCAAUGGCAGCCCUGACGCAUACCUUGCUUGAUGACGGGUGGCUUGCGGGCGUCGUCCACCACGAACGAGAACAUCUCCUUGUUGGCGCUCACAGGCCGCCUGUGGGAGGCCGGCAGGACCACGCCCAGAGAGAAGAUGAGCUCAGACACACACAAUGAGGAAAAGGACAGAAUGCUUCCAAAAUCAGAGCUCCAGCAGACAGCACUUCCUAGAACUUCAGCUGGGUUUCAUUGAAAAGGAGGGCUCUCCACUCAGGAUCCUAAUCUCCAAGCUGCAGUCUGUCUACAGCUGCUCAGGGAUCCUAUGCAUUCCCCCUAAGGCUCUUUCUUGGAGUCAGUGAGGAGUGUUCUGGGAAAUCUGGCACCAAACUCCGAUCACCUGGUGAUACAUGGUUUGGCUGUGCCCCACCCAAAUCUCAUCUUGAACUGUAGUUCCCAAAAUCCCCUUAGGACGGACUGGGAGGGACCUGGUGGGAGGUAAUGGAAUCAUGGGGGCAGUUACCUCCAUGCUGCUCUCGUGAUAAUGAGUGACUUCUUGUAAGAUCUGAUGGUUUUAUAAUGGGCUUUCCCCACCCCCUUGCUCUGCACUUCUCCUUGCUGCCGCCAUGUGAGGAAGGACACGUUUGCUUCCCCUUCUGCCAUGAUUGUAAGUUUCCUGAGGCCUCCCCAGCCCUGGGGAACUGUGAGUCAAUUAAACCUGUUCGUUUUUAAAUUACACAGUCUCUGGUAUGUCCUUAUAGCAGUGUGAGAAUGGACUAAUACAUCUGGGGACACCUGGCCAGGCAUUCAAAUGACACUGGCCCACUUGAAGUCUGUUUUCAGGAGUGGGUCUGGGCCGAGUUCCAGAACUCUGUUACCUUACGUGUAGUUUCCCAUUUCUCUCCACUGUCAACAUCUCAGCCUCUCCACCUACCCUCUUUUCCAUUCUUUGGUUUCAGAAGCUGAGCCACUGUGCCCCUGCCCUGGGCUGACUUCUCCGUCCAUCAUGUCCUUCCC